rnacentral:rRNA from 1 species
GCGCACCAGUCGCGAAACCUCCGCAAUGCGGGAAACCGCGACGGGGGACCCCGAGUGCCGUGGCAACGCCACGGCUUUUCCGGAGUGUAAAAAGCUCCGGGAAUAAGGGCUGGGCAAGGCCGGUGGCAGCCGCCGCGGUAAUACCGGCGGCCCGAGUGGUGGCCGCUAUUAUUGGGCCUAAAGCGUCCGUAGCCGGGCCCGUAAGUCCCUGGCGAAAUCCCACGGCUCAACCGUGGGGCUUGCUGGGGAUACUGCGGGUCUUGGGACCGGGAGAGGCGGGGGGUACCCCUGGGGUAGGGGUGAAAUCCUAUAAUCCCAGGGGGACCGCCAGUGGCGAAGGCGCCCCGCUGGAACGGGUCCGACGGUGAGGGACGAAGGCCAGGGGAGCAAACCGGAUUAGAUACCCGCGUAGU